UUCCCUUAGUCUCCACCCAAGGCCUACAAAUAGAAAGGAAGAGUGCGAAGCGUGGAAACCAUUGAGAAUAUGCAGAAAAGCUAAGCCAAGGAUAAAAGUUAAAAGGGGUUGGGGAGUCUUGUCGCAGGAGCGAUGGCACUGGCUGCGGUAUAUGGCUGCUUUCUAGUUUCCCAUGGAAAGGCAAAGCAACGACGCAAAGUGCCGUCGCCUUGUGACAAGAUACCCUGCACUUUCUUUGCUCAUCUUCUUCAUCUUCUUCGUCAUGUUUUCCCUAAUUCUUCACAGGCACUAAAAGUCUAAGCGAGAACAGAAACGAUGAGUUGCUCAUAAAAAAUUCUGAAAGCAGUGAAGUUAUAGUGGAGUCUGUCGGAGGAGAGAUAGCGCCUAGCUGGUGCAUAUUGUAUAGUGCUGGUAAGUUGCAAGAAGCUGGUAGGCGCCAUCAUCCCCCGACAAACUCCCCUCCAUCUUCAGUCAAGAUCAUCUUUCUAUAUUGGUUUUUGCUUGUUUUUCAGAGGGCUGGAGAGUUGUUUGUUUAACUUUAAACGUUGAAUGUAAAAGGCCACCUUUUAUAUCAGAUUUUCAACAAUGACGUGGCAAAAACAAGAUACAAGCAACAUCAGAUUAAUUCUUCUCCAUAAGUUUUCAUAUCAAAGAAUUCCUCUCUCAAAUGUUGGAGAAAGAGCUGACAGUAGAGGAAAGAAAAAAGGUGUUUGGAAAGAGUUGACGCUUACAGUAAUAUCAAUAGUCCGAAUCAAGCAGCAAGCUUUGUCUCUUCAUGAUGGAAUACCCUCAACUUUCUUCCAUCUGUGUCCAGCCAAAACUAAUCAUCUUGAUAUCUUCCAAUGGUUGAGAAAUAGGUAAUGAUGCUGUCCAGUGUAAGAUGGUAAGAAUUCAUGAAUCUUUCUCUUCCAUUUUUACGUUUGUCAGCUUCUUGGUCAGAGACAGUGCCAGUUGUGCACAUUACAAUAAAACAAAACCUGCGUGCUCAUUA